CACGUAGGGGGCGAGCGUUGUCCGGAUUUAUUGGGCGUAAAGAGCGUGUAGGCGGCCAGACAGGUCCGUUGUGAAAACUCGAGGCUCAACCUCGAGACGCCGAUGGAAACCGUCUGGCUAGAGUCCGGAAGAGGAGAGUGGAAUUCCUGGUGUAGCGGUGAAAUGCGCAGAUAUCAGGAAGAACACCCGUGGCUGAGGCGGCUCUCUAGUACGGUACUGACGCUGAGACGCGAAAGCGUGGGGAGCGAACAGG
rnacentral:rRNA from 1 species